UACGUAGGGGGCAAGCGUUGUCCGGAUUCAUUGGGCGUAAAGAGCGUGUAGGCGGCCAGGUAGGUCGGUUGUGAAAACUCGAGGCUCAACCUCGAGAUGUCGGCGGAAACCGUCUGGCUAGAGUCCGGAAGAGGAGAGUGGAAUUCCUGGUGUAGCGGUGAAAUGCGCAGAUAUCAGGAAGAACACCUAUGGCGAAGGCAGCUCUCUGGGACGGUACUGACGCUGAGACGCGAAAAGCGUGGGGAGCGAACAGG
rnacentral:rRNA from 1 species